rnacentral:rRNA from 1 species
UACGGAGGGUGCAAGCGUUAUCCGGAUUCACUGGGUUUAAAGGGUGCGUAGGUGGGUCUGUAAGUCAGUGGUGAGAUCUCCAAGCUUAACUUGGAAACUGCCGUUGAUACUAUAGAUCUUGAAUGUUGUGGAGGUGAGCGGAAUAUGUCAUGUAGCGGUGAAAUGCUUAGAUAUGACAUAGAACACCAAUUGCGAAGGCAGCUCACUACACAAAGAUUGACACUGAGGCACGAAAGCGUGGGGAUCAAACAGG